rnacentral:rRNA from 1 species
AUUGAACGCUGGCGGCAGGCUUAACACAAGCAAGUCGAGCGGAGUGAUGGUGCUUGCACUAUCACUUAGCGGCGGACGGGUGAGUAAUGCUUAGGAAUCUGCCUAUUAGUGGGGGACAACAUCUCGAAAGGGAUGCUAGUACCGCAUACGUCCUACGGGAGAAAGCAGGGGAUCACUUGUGACCUUGCGCUAAUAGAUGAGCCUAAGUCGGAUUAGCUAGUUGGUGGGGUAAAGGCCUACCAAGGCGACGAUCUGUAGCGGGUCUGAGAGGAUGAUCCGCCACACUGGGACUGAGACACGGCCCAGACUCCUACGGGAGGCAGCAGUGGGGAAUAUUGGACAAGGGGGGGAACCCUGAUCCAGCCAUGCCGCGUGUGUGAAGAAGGCCUUAUGGUUGUAAAGCACUUUAAGCGAGGAGGAGGCUCUUUUGGUUAAUACCCAAGAUGAGUGGACGUUACUCGCAGAAUAAGCACCGGCUAACUCUGUGCCAGCAGCCGCGGUAA